rnacentral:rRNA from 1 species
GUGGGGAAUAUUGGACAAUGGGCGAAAGCCUGAUCCAGCCAUGCCGCGUGUGUGAAGAAGGUCUUCGGAUUGUAAAGCACUUUAAGUUGGGAGGAAGGGCGUUUGGCUAAUAUCCAGGCGUUUUGACGUUACCAACAGAAUAAGCACCGGCUAACUUCGUGCCAGCAGCCGCGGUAAUACGAAGGGUGCAAGCGUUAAUCGGAAUUACUGGGCGUAAAGCGCGCGUAGGUGGUUCGUUAAGUUGGAUGUGAAAGCCCCGGGCUCAACCUGGGAACUGCAUCCAAAACUGGCGAGCUAGAGUACGGUAGAGGGUAGUGGAAUUUCCUGUGUAGCGGUGAAAUGCGUAGAUAUAGGAAGGAACACCAGUGGCGAAGGCGACUACCUGGACUGAUACUGACACUGAGGUGCGAAAGCGUGGGGAGCAAACAGGAUUAGAAACCCGGGUAGUCC